GAUGAACGCUGGCGGCGUGCCUAAUACAUGCAAGUAGAACGCUGAAGGAUGUAUCUUGCUCUUUCCGGAUGAGUUGCUAAUGGGUGAGUAACGCGUAGGUAACCUGCCGUGUAUCGGGGGAUAACUAUUGGAAACGAUAGCUAAUACCGCAUAACAUGUGGUGUUGCAUGACAACUAUUUGAAAGGGUGAGUUUGUUCACGACCAGGUGUGCUUGCGUUGUAUUAGCUAGUUUGUGAGGUAUCGGCUCACCAAGGCGACGAUACAUAGCCGACCUGAGAGGGUGAUCGGCCACACUGGGACUGAGACACGGCCCAGACUCCUACGGGAGGCACCAGUAGGGCACAUUCGGCAAUGGACGGAAGUCUGACCGAGCAACGCCGCGUGAGUAUAGAAGGUAGUCGGAUCGUAAAGCUCUGUUGUAAGAGAAGAACAAAAAAGAGAGUGGGAAGUUCACACUGUGACGGUAUCUUACCAGAAAGGGACGGCUAACUACGUG
rnacentral:rRNA from 1 species